GGCGCGACCAACGGUGAAGCCCGGACGCUGGCGCCGCGGGGGGGGUCACACUCCCCACCCCCCGCGGGCCUCAACCCCAUGGCCCCAAGGCCUGGGACCUCUCCGGACCGGUAACCUCCCCACCGCGCGGACAGGCAGCUUCCCGCGGUGGAAACUCUCGUGGGAGAGUGGCUCCGCAGCCUGGCUCCCGCUGUCGGGCGCCUUAUUCCAUCGAUACAAAUUGAGUUACCUCCUCUGCGUACAUUCUUCCCCAGACUUGCCGUGGUGCCUCCAACCUUGGCCUGUAUCCCCUUGUUCACUAAGCUUCAGUGGCGCAAACGUUACCUUUCCUCCAAAAGCCAUAUGGCCCUGAUAGCAGUAUCACUGAGAAGAUAAAAAAAAAACUCAGCUCCAGCAUCCUCUGCCACUCUUCUCAAAGUAUUUCUGUCUGCACCAUCAAUUUUGUGAACUGUUGUCAAGUACCUGGAGGAACAGGAGCCUCUUUUCCCUUCUAAGUUGCCAACCCUUGGCCUGCUGGCUUCAUCUCACCUCCGUUCAGAUAUUCUUCCCCUGCUUUGCACUGGGUUCCUCCUUUCUGCUUUCAGACUGAAUGGAACUCGCCUAUCUGGGGAGUUGGGGUGGGGGGGGGCGGCGGUGAGGGUGGAGGUAAUCUUUAUUUAUCCCUUUCCAAGCUGUUUCCCUUUUUCUCUCAUUCCUUUCACAGCCAAAAUGCCCAGACAAAUCCUUCACACUUGUUCCUCCCUUUUCUCCAAGGAUCUCCUUGAUAAGCUCAGUCACCUUUUUCACAGUGUUUUUUUUUUCCCUUGACCUCACUGCAAUGCAAGAAAAUUAUGACUCACUUCCACUUGUAAAAUUCUCCCUUGACAUUGCCCUAGUAUGGUUCAGUCACCCUUUCUUCCUUGCUGGCUCUUCUUUCUCAUUUAGCCCUUUGGGUGGGUGGGCAUUUGCCCCAGGUUCUAUUCUCAACCUUCUUGUUUCUCUUUACCUGCUGUCCUGGGACAACAUAUUACAAUUGCCCAUCUCCAGCCUUGAUCUGCUUCAUAAACUCUAACUUCACAUUCCCUCCAACCAGUAAGACAUCAUCGUCCAGAGGACUCAUUACCUCUAGUCAGCAUGUCAAAAAAUAUUGAUACUUCCCUUCAAAAUCAAUUUGUCUCCCUUUUACUCAGUUUUUGUCCGCAUUACCUUGACUCCCAGGUACGACUGCCACUUUUCCAUCCUCAUCUUUAAUUCACCUAUAGGACUCUCAAAAAUCUUUUCUUUAUCAGAUUCCUCAACUCCACUAAUGUGUUUCCAUUGCCACCUAUCUUGCCAAGAUCGCUUUGCUAAGUCAACUGCCAUCAUUCACCCCAGAAUCCUUGGUGUUCCCCAGGAUUUUGUCCUCAUCAGUAUCUCUAGGGAUACAGAUUGUCUCCUCCCUUUUUCAAUUCACCCACUACAUGUAGUCAGAUGUCACGUUCUAUUGAAUCUAACUUCCUAAUGUCCUAAUGAGGCUUUUUAACUUCCACAUUCUCAUCAUCAGUACCUCAGAGAUAUUUCCAAGAUUAUAAUUGCUUCUUUUACCCCUACGGUGACAUCAAAUAAAUCUUCAUUCCCCUAAAAA